rnacentral:lncRNA from 1 species
UCAAGGGGAUAAAAAACCACGACCUACACUUGUAGGAUUUCAACUUCACUACUGGAGCAAUCUUUAGAUUACAACCUAUUGUAACCUAGGAAUUAAACUCUUAAUCCCUCACUAACUUGUAAUACACAUAUUGCAAGCCACUUUGCAAUAAACCUAUUACAAAGACUUCAAUUCAUGACUAACUUUAGUCACGACACAAACUCUAAGGGUUUAUGGUUUUUGGAGGUUCCUAGUUAAAGCUUCUAAAUAAGCAAAGUAGGAAUUACAAUGAAAAACUAAUACAAAGAUGCAACUCAACUAAGGACAUACAAAAGACUUGUUGUAAGAACUAGUAUGUAGUAGUGUUGUACUUUGUUCUUGAUGCACUUGUGACUUCAAUGCUUGAUUAUCAGAUCUUGAGUACUUGAAUUAUUUCACAAGUGUUCAAGUGAUGUUUUGUUGUAAUGCUUCUUGUUAAUAUCCUUUGAAUGACAUCACUUGGAUGAUGUAAACACUUGGUUGGUAAAAAGCCCUUCCCAAUGGGAAGUGACUGCUGCAUUGUUUGAAUGUACAGUACACUGCUGUCAGGGAAACUCAAAGGGAUCAGGUCCCUGAGUUGAUUCUUUUCUGUCUGAAGUCAUACAACACACAUUAGCUUGAGUCCGUUGAUAGAGAUAUAUACAAGUGUACAUCAGGUCCUUUAUCUGAUUCUUAACAAUAAGUUUGUUAGAUCAUCAAAACAUAAGUCUAAGAUACUUUAAACCUAUCAAUUUCCCCCUUUUUGAUGAUGACAAACUUAAAAAUUAAAAACUAUUUGUAGAACACAAUAAACCAGAUAAAGUACCAGGAAUUUCACAAGUUCCCCCUGACUCUAUGAUUCCCCUUUACUCAGAUGCCCAUGCUUCAAUUUAUCUUCCCCCUUUUGGAAUCAUUAAAAAUACACAAGCAAGUAAUCAGCAUAAGGAAGUCUAGCCGAGCUAACUCGUGCCAUAUGUGUACACACAACAUGAUAGAAAAGAGAAGCAGAAAAACACAAACAUUUAACAGCAAAAAGAGAGUCUUAAUUGAUUUAUAAGACAUAAGCCUCUGCCAAGAAAGCAAAGGCAAGUUUGGACUGUUGAAUGCGGGAGCAGUUCAGGUGAAAUCCAUCCACAUCACAAAAAAAAAACUACCACAAGUCAUCAAAAAAAAAGAGAAACUUGACACUAGUCAGUGGAAGAUAUUCCUAGGGAGCACUAGAGGAAGAAGGCUUGGAGGAGGCCACAAGAGUGUUGAGAACAAGGUCAAUUCGAGCAUUUGCAGACAUCUGCUCUGCGAGUAGUUUCUCUCAUAGGUUCUCAACCUGUUGCCUGAGCUCAGCAUUUUCUUUUGACAGACGAGCAACUUCUUCACUUGAUGAACUGGAAGGUCUUGUUGCCCUUAUAGCCUGACUUAGCUGAGUCUCGAGAAUGGCAUUCCUUGCCUUCAGCUUCCUGAUCUUCUCUAUAGCACUAUUCUGGGCAUUGAUCAGCUGGGAGAUCGUCGAAGUGCUGCCCAUUCCUCCAACCUUUUCAAUUUAUUCACAUUCCUCUAGUGUCAUGUUCGAGAAGGUCUCUUUCCUGGUUUCCAUCUUGGGCUGUCCUAAGGGCACAUUAAAGAACUUGAAGACACGUGUGAGAAGAAAGCCAUAAGGGAGUCCAUGGUUCCCAUCCUUGAAAGCUGCCACUUUCUGCAUAUGUUCAAUCAUAAUGGCAGGCAAAUUGAUAGAGCAAAACUCAUCCAAUGCUUCCAUUAAGUAUAGAUCAGACCGGGAUGUGAGGGGCAUUCUCUCAGCACAAGGGAGCAGAACCUUAUUAACCAACUCAAAUAACAGUUGGUACACAGGAAGCAGAGCCUUCUUGUGUAUUUGUUCCCCAUGUUGGACAACUUUCUCUUACACAAUGGCGCGCCUAAAAUUAGAGCCACAAACGCCUCUCACAGAUGACAACCCUUCAGAUAGAACUCUGAGAAUUUUUCCCAACACAGUAGCAUCUAUAACAAUAUCCACAUCACUCACUAGGACACAGAUGUGGUCAUCUUCAACAGUGAAGAGUUCAACAUAGAAACUUUGGACCUCAUCCUCAUACACCUUAGGCACAUCCUCUUUGAACAGAUGGCCCCACUGCUGAAAUUCCACCAUCUAAAGAAUUUGUCUCAUACCUGCCAUUUCAGAAAUCUCUGGGUCAAACGUGCAACCCCAUAGUACCUUCUGGUACCGCAUCCUUUCUUGCUCAAGCACACUUACACUUUUCACCCUUUUGACAGAACCGGGUGCCCCAACAGUUUCCAACUUCCUUUUAACAGAAUUCUCAAUGGACUUACCCUUGCUACUUGAUUUCACCAAAAUAUCAUCAUCAGACAUUAAUUGUUUCUCCACAACUUGCUUAGACUUGAUACUACCUUUCACAGACUUUUUACUUGAUGUUUCAACAGCUUCCAUUAAAGCUUUCUCAACAGAUUGUUUCUUUUUCUGAGAUCUCUUAACCAUGGAACUUGGUUCCUCUUGAGCAUCCUCAUCCACUUCCACUACAGGUAUACUUUUGUCAUACACAAUUUCCUCAUCCUUCACCAGCCUCUUCUUCUUUUUUUUGCUAUUCCUUUUGCUUUUCUUCAAGGCAGACUCAAAAGCCUCCUUCUGUUGUAACCUUGUGGUAGGUCGCUUAGGAAGGGGCUCAGGAGUGACCACGGGAUUUCUAAUCUUAAAGCGUGCAUUGAGAACCACAUCAUCCUGUUCAUCCUCAUCACUAGAUCUCACAACGAGAGGGAUGGACUCCAACGGUUCAGCAUCAAAGUGAGGAGAUGGAGAAGGAUUGAAGCUGACCUAGGAAGAUGAUUCAUGACCUGUUUCCUCAGAGAGGGAAUCAGGUUCAUCAGCAAGGUACCCAGUAGCUUCUUCAGGUGCAGAAGAUCCAAAGAGCACCAUUGUUCCUUCUUCUCCGAAGAGCGGAGUCCCUUCCCCUUGAGACUCAAGCAUGGACGAAGUUACCUUAUUCACCAGUCUCUCGGCAGCAAUGGACAACAUAUUUUCGAUGGCCUCAUUUUCCUGAGGUUCCAUAGCAGCAGCAGUAACCAGAGGACUAGCACACUGAUUAGUAUCUUCCUCGGACACCCAUUUUCCUUGUUGCGUUUCACCCUUUUCUUCAUUCUUGUUCUGUUCUUUGAGAGUAUCUGGCAACAGAGAAGAAAUACUAUCUAUUUUUGGUGCUUCUGAGUCCUCAACACUUAAGGAAGGAGUAUCGACAGAGGGCGUGAUGAGAGAGAUAGGGGUGAAAAGGAAUCAGGUUUGGGUGUUUUGGGUCAGCAAUGGUAGAAGAGGGGACGUUUGGUGGUGUUUCUAACAUGGCGAAUAAGUCAAGGGUUUUCUCUUCAGAGCUGGGUAGGUUUUCUUGCUCUUCAGCCAUGGUAGAUAGUUGGGUAGAAGGUUUUGGAAGAGUGAAAAGAGAGAAGGAUGAUCGCUUAAGGUUAGGAGGAGUAGGGGUUUUAAAGAGGGAAAGGAUAAUUAUGAGGGAAGAGAAACAGGUUCUGAAAUGGCUGUAGGUUUGUGGGAAGAUGCAACGUUGCAGAGGGAAGUGAAAAUAUUUGAAAGAAAAGAUGUGAUAUACAGGGUCUGAAAAGGUGGAUGACGUGGCAGUUAAUUUUGUUUCUUUUGAGAUAUGCAUGAGAAAAACACAAGACCAUUAACCUGUGGUACAAGAACCAGGUUCUUGAUCGGUCUUUCGGAAAAGAUUUUUCAACUCUCUUUUACCGCUCAUGCAUUGUUUCUUCAGCUUCUAUAAUCAUCAUGCGUGUCUACCUGUAACGAUAUAGAGGUGAGUUAGGCUUGGCCAGAAAACACUUUAGCUAGAUUUACCUGAAUGUAACUUUCAUAGCCAUAUGGAAGGGAAUCAGAUUCUCAAUUAGUCUUGAUUAACCCCAGUGCCAUCCUGUUUUUCUCAAAAUGUUCCCUGCUUAAAGCUUUGGUGAAGAUGUCUGCAAUUUGGUCUUCUAUACUAUAGAACUUUAUGCAAAUAAGCCCAUUCUCCACAUUGUCUCUGAGAAAAUGAUAUCUUACAUCAAUGUGCUUGGUUCUCUAGUGCUGGACCGGGUUAUUUGCCAUGUUGAGUGCACUGGUGUUAUCACAUAGAAGAGGUACACAGUCAGUGUAUACUCCAAAAUCCUCUAAUUGUUGUUUGAUCCACAAGAGCUGGGCACAACAAGAAGCUACAACAACAUAUUCUGUUUCAGCUGUUGAGAGAGCUACAGAGUUUUGAUUCUUUGUGCCCAAUGAAAUCAGACAGGAUCCUAGGAAGUGAUCUAUUCCGGAUUGUCACACCUCCUUUUUCCCGCAGGGGAUAGGGGAAUAAGGGAGUUUUUCCAAUUAAAGUGACAUUAAUCGAAAUGAAAUUAUUUAUUUAUUUCAGAGUCGCCACUUGAAAUAAUUUAUGGUGUCCCAAGUCACCGGUUUAUUUUAAAUCUCAAAUCGAGGAAAUUGACUCUUAUUUAUAGUCUGCGAACACAGAAGAUCGGGUAAGGAAUUCUGUUAACCCGGGAGAAGGUGUGAGGCACUCCCGAGUUCCGUGGUUUUAGCACGGUUGCUUAACUAUUAAUACUUGGCUUAAUUAUCUGAUUUAUUACCUGUUUUAAACCUAUUGUGCAUUGUACACAUUGCAAACCGCCCCACAUGAAAUGCACCCGCGAUUUACGACAUGUUUAUUUUUAUUAUUAUUCGAAGUUAUAGUCGGGUCAGAUGAAAUGCACACCCAAAUUGAGAAUUAUGUAUCGUGACCAUGCCACGGAAACCGUACCCAUAAUCACGAAGAUUGAUUAUUGCGCCUAAAGCAAGCUACGAAUUAAGGAUUAUUUUUGUUCGACCAAAGUCGCGCAAAAGCGUACUUCGAUUUAUUUUUGGAAUCAUAAUUAUUACUUUUAUUAUUCCAUGGAUUUCACGAAGAGGAUAUUGAAGAAUUAGAAACAGUGACGAUUACUAAUCAUUCUCACGCUUUGCAUAUCAAAGGCCAAGGAAAAUAAAUGAGCAAUCCUACUGCUAUAUCAUAAAUCACGGUUUCCUCCAGUAAAUACCUCAGAGAACGUUUGCAAACGAUGAUUGCUAAUGCAUGAAGCUUAUUGAAUUUUCAGCAAUUGAAAUACAAUUAAAACUCAACUUUCAAGUUAGUGCUUAUAUACCCAAAUUCCCAUACUAACACAGAUUUGAAGUAAUAUACACAAAGGCUCAAACUCAUAAAACCAAGUACAACUAAUAAUAUUUAAAAAAAAAACUCAAAGCAGACACAUAUGAAAAGUAAAACAUUAAAGCAAUAGUGACAUGGAUCUGAAAUACUCGAAUCAUAGAGAAAUGAAUUGGAGUAGUGAAAGAAAGAAAGAGCCAGACCUUAAUUGCCUAAAAUCUUCAAAACAUGUACAGCGCAAAAGAGUAUCCAAAAAUAGAAGUCCUCGAGCGAGCUACGGACCAUAAACUCGAAUCGGAAUCGCAAUGCUGAACGACUCAACUCGACCAGAUUUGGAUGGUGAUUUCAGGCUGGUUUAUGCAUUGAUUUGAGGUGAUCUUUUCGGUGAAAUUUGCAGCGCCUUUCAGUUGUUGUUUUGGCUCUUUUCGGGGCUGAUUCGGCAGCUGAUUGCAACAGAUUUCAACUGCGUAUUAGGGUUGCUCUGGCCAGCGUUUUCGGGCUGUUUUUNN